rnacentral:rRNA from 1 species
GGUUAAGUUAGAAAGGGCGCACGGUGGAUGCCUUGACACUAGGAGUCGAUGAAGGACGGGACUAACGCCGAUAUGCUUCGGGGAGCUGUAAGUAAGCUUUGAUCCGAAGAUUUCCGAAUGGGGAAACCCACCAUACGUAAUGGUAUGGUAUCCUUAUCUGAAUACAUAGGGUAAGGAAGACAGACCCAGGGAACUGAAACAUCUAAGUACCUGGAGGAAGAGAAAGCAAAUGCGAUUUCCUGAGUAGCGGCGAGCGAAACGGAACAUAGCCCAAACCAAGAGGCUUGCCUCUUGGGGUUGUAGGACAUUCUAUACGGAGUUACAAAGGAACGAGGUAGACGAAGCGACCUGGAAAGGUCCGUCGUAGAGGGUAACAACCCCGUAGUCGAAACUUCGUUCUCUCUUGAAUGUAUCCUGAGUACGGCGGAACACGUGAAAUUCCGUCGGAAUCUGGGAGGACCAUCUCCCAAGGCUAAAUACUCCCUAGUGAUCGAUAGUGAACCAGUACCGUGAGGGAAAGGUGAAAAGCACCCCGGAAGGGGAGUGAAAGAGAUCCUGAAACCGUGUGCCUACAAAUAGUCAGAGCCCGUUAACGGGUGAUGGCGUGCCUUUUGUAGAAUGAACCGGCGAGUUACGAUCCCGUGCGAGGUUAAGCUGAAGAGGCGGAGCCGCAGCGAAAGCGAGUCUGAAUAGGGCGUUUAGUACGUGGUCGUAGACCCGAAACCAGGUGAUCUACCCAUGUCCAGGGUGAAGUUCAGGUAACACUGAAUGGAGGCCCGAACCCACGCACGUUGAAAAGUGCGGGGAUGAGGUGUGGGUAGCGGAGAAAUUCCAAUCGAACCUGGAGAUAGCUGGUUCUCCCCGAAAUAGCUUUAGGGCUAGCCUUAAGUGUAAGAGUCUUGGAGGUAGAGCACUGAUUGGACUAGGGGUCCUCAUCGGAUUACCGAAUUCAGUCAAACUCCGAAUGCCAAUGACUUAUCCUUAGGAGUCAGACUGCGAGUGAUAAGAUCCGUAGUCAAAAGGGAAACAGCCCAGACCGCCAGCUAAGGUCCCAAAGUGUGUAUUAAGUGGAAAAGGAUGUGGAGUUGCUUAGACAACUAGGAUGUUGGCUUAGAAGCAGCCACCAUUUAAAGAGUGCGUAAUAGCUCACUAGUCGAGUGACUCUGCGCCGAAAAUGUACCGGGGCUAAAUACACCACCGAAGCUGCGGAUUGAUACCAAUGGUAUCAGUGGUAGGGGAGCGUUCUAAGGACAGUGAAGUCAGACCGGAAGGACUGGUGGAGUGCUUAGAAGUGAGAAUGCCGGUAUGAGUAGCGAAAGACGGGUGAGAAUCCCGUCCACCGAAUGCCUAAGGUUUCCUGAGGAAGGCUCGUCCGCUCAGGGUUAGUCAGGACCUAAGCCGAGGCCGACAGGCGUAGGCGAUGGACAACAGGUUGAUAUUCCUGUACCACCUCUUUAUCGUUUGAGCAAUGGAGGGACGCAGAAGGAUAGAAGAAGCGUGCGAUUGGUUGUGCACGUCCAAGCAGUUAGGCUGAUAAGUAGGCAAAUCCGCUUAUCGUAAAGGCUGAGCUGUGAUGGGGAAGCUCCUUAUGGAGCGAAGUCUUUGAUUCCCCGCUGCCAAGAAAAGCUUCUAGCGAGAUAAAAGGUGCCUGUACCGCAAACCGACACAGGUAGGCGAGGAGAGAAUCCUAAGGUGUGCGAGAGAACUCUGGUUAAGGAACUCGNNNNNNNNNNNNNNNNNNNNNNNNNNNNNNNNNNNNNNNNNNNNNNNNNNNNNNNNNNNNNNNNNNNNNNNNNNNNNNNNNNNNNNNNNNNNNNNNNGUGAAGUCUUUGAUUCCCCGCUGCCAAGAAAAGCUUCUAGCGAGAUAAAAGGUGCCUGUACCGCAAACCGACACAGGUAGGCGAGGAGAGAAUCCUAAGGUGUGCGAGAGAACUCUGGUUAAGGAACUCGGCAAAAUGACCCCGUAACUUCGGGAGAAGGGGUGCUUUCUUAACGGAAAGCCGCAGUGAAUAGGCCCAAGCGACUGUUUAGCAAAAACACAGCUCUCUGCGAAGCCGUAAGGCGAAGUAUAGGGGGUGACACCUGCCCGGUGCUGGAAGGUUAAGGAGAGGGGUUAGCGUAAGCGAAGCUCUGAACUGAAGCCCCAGUAAACGGCGGCCGUAACUAUAACGGUCCUAAGGUAGCGAAAUUCCUUGUCGGGUAAGUUCCGACCCGCACGAAAGGUGUAACGAUUUGGGCACUGUCUCAACCAGAGACUCGGUGAAAUUAUAGUACCUGUGAAGAUGCAGGUUACCCGCGACAGGACGGAAAGACCCCGUGGAGCUUUACUGUAGCCUGAUAUUGAAUUUUGGUACAGUUUGUACAGGAUAGGCGGGAGCCUUUGAAACCGGAGCGCUAGCUUCGGUGGAGGCGCUGGUGGGAUACCGCCCUGACUGUAUUGAAAUUCUAACCUACGGGUCUUAUCGACCCGGGAGACAGUGUCAGGUGGGCAGUUUGACUGGGGCGGUCGCCUCCUAAAGUGUAACGGAGGCGCCCAAAGGUUCCCUCAGAAUGGUUGGAAAUCAUUCGUAGAGUGCAAAGGCAUAAGGGAGCUUGACUGCGAGACCUACAAGUCGAGCAGGGACGAAAGUCGGGCUUAGUGAUCCGGUGGUUCCGCAUGGAAGGGCCAUCGCUCAACGGAUAAAAGCUACCCCGGGGAUAACAGGCUUAUCUCCCCCAAGAGUCCACAUCGACGGGGAGGUUUGGCACCUCGAUGUCGGCUCAUCGCAUCCUGGGGCUGUAGUCGGUCCCAAGGGUUGGGCUGUUCGCCCAUUAAAGCGGUACGCGAGCUGGGUUCAGAACGUCGUGAGACAGUUCGGUCCCUAUCCGUCGUGGGCGUAGGAAAUUUGAGAGGAGCUGUCCUUAGUACGAGAGGACCGGGAUGGACGCACCGCUGGUGUACCAGUUGUUCUGCCAAGGGCAUAGCUGGGUAGCUAUGUGCGGAAGGGAUAAGUGCUGAAAGCAUCUAAGCAUGAAGCCCCCCUCAAGAUGAGAUUUCCCAUAGCGUAAGCUAGUAAGAUCCCUGAAAGAUGAUCAGGUUGAUAGGUUCGAGGUGGAAGCAUGGUGACAUGUGGAGCUGACGAAUACUAAUAGAUCGAGGACUUAACCAU